GCAGUCGAGCGGUAGCACGGGAGAGCUUGCUCUCUGGGUGACGAGCGGCGGACGGGUGAGUAAUGUCUGGGGAUCUGCCUGAUGGAGGGGGAUAACUACUGGAAACGGUAGCUAAUACCGCAUAACGUCGCAAGACCAAAGAGGGGGACCUUCGGGCCUCUUGCCAUCAGAUGAACCCAGAUGGGAUUAGCUAGUAGGUGGGGUAAUGGCUCACCUAGGCGACGAUCCCUAGCUGGUCUGAGAGGAUGACCAGCCACACUGGAACUGAGACACGGUCCAGACUCCUACGGGAGGCAGCAGUGGGGAAUAUUGCACAAUGGGCGCAAGCCUGAUGCAGCCAUGCCGCGUGUAUGAAGAAGGCCUUCGGGUUGUAAAGUACUUUCAGCGAGGAGGAAGGCGUUAAGGUUAAUAACCUUAGCGAUUGACGUUACUCGCAGAAGAAGCACCGGCUAACUCCGUGCCAGCAGCCGCGGUAAUACGGAGGGUGCAAGCGUUAAUCGGAAUUACUGGGCGUAAAGCGCACGCAGGCGGUUUGUUAAGUCGGAUGUGAAAUCCCCGGGCUCAACCUGGGAACUGCAUUCGAAACUGGCAAGCUUGAGUCUUGUAGAGGGGGGUAGAAUUCCAGGUGUAGCGGUGAAAUGCGUAGAGAUCUGGAGGAAUACCGGUGGCGAAGGCGGCCCCCUGGACAAAGACUGACGCUCAGGUGCGAAAGCGUGGGGAGCAAACAGGAUUAGAUACCCUGGUAGUCCACGCCGUAAACGAUGUCGACUUGGAGGUUGUGCCCUUGAGGCGUGGCUUCCGGAGCUAACGCGUUAAGUCGACCGCCUGGGGAGUACGGCCGCAAGGUUAAAACUCAAAUGAAUUGACGGGGGCCCGCACAAGCGGUGGAGCAUGUGGUUUAAUUCGAUGCAACGCGAAGAACCUUACCUACUCUUGACAUCCAGAGAACUUUCCAGAGAUGGAUUGGUGCCUUCGGGAACUCUGAGACAGGUGCUGCAUGGCUGUCGUCAGCUCGUGUUGUGAAAUGUUGGGUUAAGUCCCGCAACGAGCGCAACCCUUAUCCUUUGUUGCCAGCGGUUCGGCCGGGAACUCAAAGGAGACUGCCAGUGAUAAACUGGAGGAAGGUGGGGAUGACGUCAAGUCAUCAUGGCCCUUACGAGUAGGGCUACACACGUGCUACAAUGGCGCAUACAAAGAGAAGCGACCUCGCGAGAGCAAGCGGACCUCAUAAAGUGCGUCGUAGUCCGGAUUGGAGUCUGCAACUCGACUCCAUGAAGUCGGAAUCGCUAGUAAUCGUAGAUCAGAAUGCUACGGUGAAUACGUUCCCGGGCCUUGUACACACCGCCCGUCACACCAUGGGAGUGGGUUGCAAAAGAAGUAGGUAGCUUAACCUUCGGGAGGGCGCU
rnacentral:rRNA from 1 species